rnacentral:misc_RNA from 1 species
UUGUGGAGGAGGACGCCGAAGGUGGGGCUAAUGACUGGGGUGAAGUCGUAACAAGGUAGCCGUACCGGAAGGUGCGGCUGGAUCACCUCCUAACAGGGAGACAACAAAAUGUUUAAUAUUAUUAUUUUGUCACCUUAGGUCGAUCGGUAUCUCAUGUUCUUAAUUUAUUAAGAAUUUCAUUUCCUAAGUUUUUCUAGGUCACACCCAUUAUUUUCCUGGGCCAUUAGCUCAGGUGGUUAGAGCGCACCCCUGAUAAGGGUGAGGUCCCUGGUUCAAGUCCAGGAUGGCCCAUAUCUCUAUGUUGGGGGUAUAGCUCAGUUGGUAGAGCGCCUGCUUUGCAAGCAGGAUGUCAGCGGUUCGAGUCCGCUUACCUCCACUGAUUACCACCUCUUACAUAAUUUGUAGAAAGGAAAAUUUUUGAGUUUUGAUCACAAAAUCCUGAACGAAUCUAGCUUCCUAAUGAAAUCAUUAAGAUGCUGGACUCAUUGAAUUAAUUUCAUUGUUUUCAGAGAACCUUGACAACUGCAUAGAUUAUUUUUAAAGACAAUAAGCAUCUUUAAUGAUGCAGAUUUAUUAUUUUUGCAAAUGCAUUAAUAACAAUUCUAUUAAGCUGAUGCUUCAAUUAUGAAGUUAUUGGUCAAGCUACAA